rnacentral:rRNA from 1 species
AGUGAACGCUGGCGGUAGGCCUAACACAUGCAAGUCGAACGGCAGCACAGUAAGAGCUUGCUCUUACGGGUGGCGAGUGGCGGACGGGUGAGGAAUACAUCGGAAUCUACUUUUUCGUGGGGGAUAACGUAGGGAAACUUACGCUAAUACCGCAUACGACCUACGGGUGAAAGCAGGGGAUCUUCGGACCUUGCGCGAUUGAAUGAGCCGAUGUCGGAUUAGCUAGUUGGCGGGGUAAAGGCCAACCAAGGCGACGAUCCGUAGCUGGUCUGAGAGGAUGAUCAGCCACACUGGAACUGGGCCACGGUCCAGACUCCUGCGGGACGCAGCAGUGGGGAAUAUUGGACAAUGGGCGCAAACCUGAUCCAACCAUACCGCGUGGGUGAAGAAGGCCUUCGGGUUGUAAAGCCCUUUUGUUGGGAAAGAAAAGCAGCAGGUUAAUACCCCGCUGUUCUGACGGUACCCAGAGAAUAAGCACCGGCUAACUUCGUG